UACGUAGGGUGCGAGCGUUGUCCGGAAUUAUUGGGCGUAAAGAGCUCGUAGGCGGUGUGUCACGUCGUUCGUGAAAACCUGCAGCUCAACUGUGGGCGUGCGGUCGAUACGGGCAUCACUGGAGUUCGGCAGGGGAGACUGGAAUUCCUGGUGUAGCGGUGAAAUGCGCAGAUAUCAGGAGGAACACCGGUGGCGAAGGCGGGUCUCUGGGACGGUACUGACGCUGAGACGCGAAAGCGUGGGGAGCGAACAGG
rnacentral:rRNA from 1 species